GGUGUGCACAGUCGCGCACAGCCGAUGAUGCGGUGACAAGGGAACUGACCAGAUCACGGGACACCUGUCGCCGAUGAGUCGCCAAGAAGACAAGCAAUGCACGGGCAAAGGAGUGCACAGCGCAGUCCAGUCUCCCCUCCUCCUUAUCCCCCAAGCAAGCCGGUCGGAGCAGAGGGAAGCGGAGCACAGCCCGUCUCUGCGCGCGUCUCAUCCUCUUGCUCAGUCCCCCAAUCCAGUGACUGGAGCUUCUCUUCGCGAGUCCAACGGGAUGGGUGAAGACCACCAGCGGAAGCACAUGAUGAGUCCGGAGCGGCGGCCAGGGGAGGAGGAGCCCAAGAAAGCAGCUCCCGACGAGGCAGAGACCGGCGAAGGAGCCGGCAUGGAGGCAAGCUGCGACUACUGCGGCGGCGCGGCGGCGGCGGUCUACUGCCGCGCCGAUGCCGCCAGGCUCUGCCUGCCGUGCGACCGCCACGUGCAUGGCGCCAACGGCGUCUUAUCCCGCCACGCCCGCGCACCGCUCUGCGCCGACUGCCGCGCCACAGGGAGCAUCUUCCGCCGCGCCUCCACCGCCUCCGCGGCUGCGGGAUUGUUCCUCUGCUCCGACUGUGACUUCGAGAGGCACCGGGACGGCGGGGACCCGCCGCUCCACGACCGCUGCGCGGUGCAGGCCUACACAGGGUGCCCACCGGCGAACGAGCUCGCGGCGCUCCUCGGGGCGCCCCUCUUCGAGAAGCCGCCCGCCGACGGCGACGGGUGGUGGGACAUCUGGGAGGAGCCGCAGGUGCUGAGCUUGGAGGACCUUAUCGUGCCAACCACCCCCUGCCAUGGCUUCCAGCCUCUCCUUACCCCGUGCUCCCCCAAGAACCGGAGCAUCUCGCCGGAUGGGAAGAUGAAUGAGGAGAUCCUCCGGCAGCUCGGCGAGCUCGCAGAGUCAGACGGCGGUAUGCAGCGAGCAGCAGGUCAUGAGGAGGCAGAGCAAGCUGGUGAUCAGUUCGCUUCAUGGGCACCACCACAGUAUGUCACUGGACAUGGCAGUUUUGGAACAGAGAACAGCCAUGAGGUUGCAACCAUGCCCACCCCUGGUUAUGAGAAUAGCAGCUGGAACAACAGUGAUUACCAUGCCCAAAAUGAUGCAUGCAAGGUCGAGAUCACAUAUGAGCAGGCUCCAGUCAGCUCAGCUGAAGCAUGCCUAUCAUCAUUUGUUCCGAUGUCGGAAAUUUGCCCCAGCAUGAGCAAUGGUAGCAGUAUGGAUGAUAACCACCAGGCAAAUCCUGGCAUUGGCAUGCCGACGCAAGCUUUCCCCAAAAAGGGUGGCUUUGAUGUUGUUCCCUGCCCUGACCGGGACUCUGUCAUUUCACGCUACAAAGAGAAGAGGAAGACAAGAAGAUUCGACAAGCAGGUCCGGUAUGAGUCCCGCAAAGUUCGUGCUGAUGGCAGGCUGAGGAUCAAGGGGCGUUUUGCAAAGGCGAAUCAGACCUAAGCCUUGAUUUGCAAUAUAUUAUGCAUCUUGGACAUGAAGGAGAACGCUUAUUAGGAGAAAGCGUGGAUAAUACAAAAAUGUGCCAGAGUUUUGUUUGUCUCCAGUUUCACAGCUGAUAGCUCGUAAGACAGCUCUACUUCUAAUAAUCAUAAGAAGGCCAUGGAUCAAAAUGAAAAGAUGUUAACAUGGGAUGGUAGAAUCUGUUGACGAAUAAACCAUUUCCAGCGGUAAUGGUUAAAAGUUGAUUUUGAAGUCGUAAGAAUAAUUUAUCACUGGCUGAAUUUCAGCUUUCAGUGUUUACAGUUCAAGAUCAAAAUACUGGACAAAAAACAUAUAGUAUCUGCAGAAAAGAAGUCAUCUUUGAUUUGUAUACGACUUUAGAUAGCAAAAUUACUUCUCUUUAACAUUAGAGAAUGCAUUAUACUAUGGUACAAUUGAAUUGCGAAUUGUGUUUGCAUAAUCAGAAGUCAAAUUCUCAUC